UAUCAUUUAUCAUUUAUCAUCCCACACCUUUUUCUUUUGUGCAACUCUUCCCACACCUUUUCUCUUUCUUUUUUUUCUGUCUUUUACUUUUAUCUGGGGCCACAUACUAUUCAGAACAGAUUGGGUCGGUAUCCAAAAGAACAAAAGUCAUAUACAGAUUUGACGUGGCCAAUGGAAACUCUACAAGCAGGCCCACAUUUUUAUUAAACACAAAAUCCAAAGACUCUCUGACACAAUCUCUAUCUGUAAUUAUCUCAUUUAUCUACAUUUAUUACAACAAUAUAGAAGCGGAAAAAACAAGAAUCAUUUACAUCUGGAGGCGGAGGCGGAGGCAGAGGCAGUUUACAAGUUUUUAUAACAUUCUAGAGCCGUUUAUGCUACUUAGAUAGUUUUUAGGUGAAAAGAUUCAAUUUACCCUGUAAAAAACGUAAUCAAUUGAUUGUGUUUUAGUUAGGUGGGUUUUAUUUGGUUCUUCUUUUACAAUUUGAAAAUCAGCGGUGAACCCAAAGAGAGAUUUAAAUAAGAUCUAAUUAGCUGGACGUGUAAAAAUUAUAUUUUUAUUACUUUUUCGUAACUUUUACAGAGGAAAGAAAUAGAAACUCAAAGGUCGACGAAGAAGACGAGAUACGUUGGUGAAUUCCGACGAAAGAAAUUGUGAGAUAGUUGUUCCGAGAAGGAUGUCGAGGAGACGGAGCCGGCGUGAGAAAGAAAAGGCCGACAAGUAGAAACGGGGGGAAAUGAACGAACGGAGGCAAACUCUAUUCUUAAAGGAGUAUGUUUCUUAGGACGUUACAAUAGGAGCAGAGAACGAACGAUGAUUUUACUGAAAGAACGGUGAGAAAAUCUAUUCCAGAACAGAUGUCGAUGAGACAAAGGCGUCGUGAGAAGGAGAAAGCUGAUGAUAAGAUAUAAGAACAUUGAGAGAAUAAAGGUUAUUGAUAGAGGCGAGAAGGAUCUAAUAUUUGAUAGAUAAAGAGGAAUGUUGGCAAACAAGCUCUAAUUUUCUAAUACAUGAAGGGGAAUGUGGGCAAACAAGCUCUAAAAUUUGAUUGAUGAAACAAAAAGGGAUAAAAAAAAGUAGUUUGGCGUUGUCCAUAUGUACACUCUAUGGUAUGUCCCCAUGUACAAUCAUUAAGCCAUAGUCCAUAUGUACAAUGUUAAAACAAUGUCCAUAUGUACCAAUUUGUCCCCAUGUACACUUAUUAAGA